rnacentral:rRNA from 1 species
UCAUGGCUCAGGACGAACGCUGGCGGCGUGCUUAACACAUGCAAGUCGAGCGGUAAGGCCCUUCGGGGUACACGAGCGGCGAACGGGUGAGUAACACGUGGGUGAUCUGCCUUGCACUCUGGGAUAAGCCUGGGAAACUGGGUCUAAUACCGGAUAUGACUUUCAGUUGCAUGACUGGGAGUGGAAAGAUUUAUCGGUGCAAGAUGAGCCCGCGGCCUAUCAGCUUGUUGGUGGGGUAAUAGCCUACCAAGGCGACGACGGGUAGCCGGCCUGAGAGGGCGACCGGCCACACUGGGACUGAGACACGGCCCAGACUCCUACGGGAGGCAGCAGUGGGGAAUAUUGCACAAUGGGCGGAAGCCUGAUGCAGCGACGCCGCGUGAGGGAUGACGGCCUUCGGGUUGUAAACCUCUUUCGACUCCGACGAAGCGAAAGUGACGGUAGGAGUAUAAGAAGCACCGGCCAACUACGUGCCAGCAGCCGCGGUAAUACGUAGGGUGCGAGCGUUGUCCGGAAUUACUGGGCGUAAAGAGCUUGUAGGCGGUCUGUCACGUCAUCUGUGAAAACUUGAGGCUCAACCUUAAGCUUGCAGGCGAUACGGGCAGACUAGAGUACUUCAGGGGAGACUGGAAUUCCUGGUGUAGCGGUGAAAUGCGCAGAUAUCAGGAGGAACACCGGUGGCGAAGGCGGGUCUCUGGGAAGUAACUGACGCUGAGAAGCGAAAGCAUGGGUAGCGAACAGGAUUAGAUACCCUGGUAGUCCAUGCCGUAAACGGUGGGUACUAGGUGUGGG